CUCGACGACCCAAACUCCUCUGCGGCCCUGAGUUUGGACACAUGGGAAGAAGAUGUUGACAUACACAGCGAUAUGUGUCCUCUGCAGCACUCUGCCUCCUGGUAAGAACUCUGAGCUGCUCAGAGUUCGACCAGACAGCACGCAGGAAGUAACCAGGCGGUGAAGAUUACACAGACUGCACCUGAGGGACCACAGGAAGUCAAAAGACAGCUGAAGUAUUACUCAUAUACAUACAGUACAGAUGGUGUAGCCAUGGAAACCAACCUGAGCAGAGGUGAGGAUGUGUUGUGCUGCUGCGGGAUCAUGACAGAGGCAGA